rnacentral:rRNA from 1 species
UACGUAGGGGGGCAAGCGUUGUCCGGAAUUAUUGGGCGUAAAGAGCUCGUAGGCGGUUUGUCGCGUCUGCUGUGAAAACCUAAGGCUCAACCUUGGGCUUGCAGUGGGUACGGGGCAGACUAGAGUGCGGUAGGGGUGACUGGAAUUCCUGGUGUAGCGGUGGAAUGCGCAGAUAUCAGGAGGAACACCGAUGGCGAAGGCAGGUCACUGGGCCGCAACUGACG